UACGUAGGGUGCGAGCGUUGUCCGGAAUUACUGGGCGUAAAGAGCUCGUAGGUGGUUUGUCGCGUUGUCCGUGAAAACUCACAACUCAAUUGUGGGCGUGCGGGCGAUACGGGCAGACUGGAGUACUGCAGGGGAGACUGGAAUUCCUGGUGUAGCGGUGGAAUGCGCAGAUAUCGGGAGGAACACCUGUGGCGAAGGCGGCCAUCUGGACGUCAACUGACGCUGAGACGCGAAAGCAUGGGGAGCAAACAGG
rnacentral:rRNA from 1 species